UUUUUACAUUUAUUUGAUAUAUAGUAUAUACAUGAUAAAUGUUUAAAAACGGCAUGAGUGUGAAUAACUUCUGGUUAAAAUAACCAUGAGUGGCUCUGGUUAUUUUAACCAGAUUAUGUGAUAUAAAAUAACCAGAAAGUUUAACUAGGUUAUUAUAAGGUAUCCCAAAUAGUGGCAUGGAUGAGAUAGAGCGUUCUUUUCUAUCUCAUCCAUGUCUAGUAUAAUCGCUCACAAACACAUGCACAAACAUCCAGUCUCCGCUUCUGAUUUCAAAAUUCUAUCAUCAGGCACUUCUGAGUGGGAUCUUUUUAUCCGUGAAAGCUUAUUAAUUUCUCAACUUAACCCUGUCCUUAAUGCUAAUAUUAUAUCUAUACCCUCUUGAGUUAUUUUAGUUAUGUAAUAUUAACUUUAACUAUACUAACCAUGCACUUAACGUUAAUAUUUACUUAUCAACUAGUUACUGCUAAUAUUAGAUCUAUACCCUCUUGAGUUAUUUUAGUUAUGUAAUAUUAACCUUAACUAUACUAACCAU